rnacentral:rRNA from 1 species
GACGAACGCUGGCGGCGUGCUUAACACAUGCAAGUCGAGCGGUAAGGCCCUUUCGGGGGUACACGAGCGGCGAACGGGUGAGUAACACGUGGGUGACCUGCCCUCAGCUCUGGGAUAAGCCUGGGAAACCGGGUCUAAUACUGGAUAUGACUCCAUGACGCAUGUUGUGGGGUGGAAAGCCUUGUGCGGCUGAGGAUGGGCCCGCGGCCUAUCAGCUUGUUGGGGGGUGAUGGCCUACCAAGGCGACGACGGGUAGCCGGCCUGAGAGGGCGACCGGCCACACUGGGACUGAGACACGGCCCAGACUCCUACGGGAGGCAGCAGUGGGGAAUCUUGCGCAAUGGGCGAAAGCCUGACGCAGCGACGCCGCGUGAGGGA